GCUGCUGUCAAGGGCAAAUUGGUGCCCAACGUGGGGCUCGAGGACCCUAAGGACCCAAGGAAUGCUACUGCACCCAGGGGGGCACACCUUCCCACAUUCACUGAGCCACUGCGCUCGAGGGGGGGAAAGCAGAGGCUCGCAGAGGUCACCAUGGCUCCACAUGGCUGUGAGAUGGACCCGCAGAGAUUGCCACAGUUUUACCCAGACUGUGAGUCAGAUCUGGAGGAAAAAUGCAGCGGUGUAAGAACAGGUGAAGCCUAGACCUGUUGUUUUGACAACAAGGAGGAAUCUGUGCAGCCCGUAAAGAGGAAUGCUGCUUCUACACAGAUCACACAGGAGUGACAAGAGACAGCAUGGCCACGUUCAGAGAAGGAGUAGAAAAAGAAGGAAACAGCGAUAACAGGAACUAGGCUGGCUCCAAAAUUGGUUCUCAGCCUCACCCUGGCUUACCACCUUACUCCCUUCCAUUUCAGGACCCCUUGCUGGUUUUUUAAUUUUGCUCGCAUUUGGCCCUUGGGACAUCAAGAGGUUAACUGACUUUAUCCACCAACAGAUCGACUCUCUGAUGGCAAAGCCUAUCCAAACUCACGAUCACAGGCUUUACCUCAAGGAUCGUGGUCACGGACAUCGUGAUGGGCCUGAACAAGCUUGCCUGAAAAGGCUGGGUUAUCAUACUCCAGGAUAUAUGACACAUAACCAUCCAGGAGGACCAGGAUCCCUGCUCCCACUCGUGGUGAGAUAGAGUCAAUAAGCUCACCUUCUUACUUGGAAAAAAAUGGAAUUGUCGGGAGCGAUCAUUGUUAUUUAGAACCUCUUGUAAACAUUGCCAGCCUUUUUUAAGAAGAGUCCAUCCCCUCCCCAGCUUCCUAAUGAAUAGAACUUGGGCUCACAGGAAUAGCCGAUGGCAAAAAAGUAAGCAUCCACAAUUAGAUCACUUAGCCCCUCCUUCUGCGAACCUUUCACCUUGCCCACACCUGCUAUCUGCUACCUUCAGUGGCCUGGUUACUAGGCAACGACCCCUCCCUCAUUGUCCUGCAUUCCUCUGCCCCAUCCCCCUUCCUCAUUUACCCUAUAUAAGCCAGUUACAAAAUUCUCAUCAAACGCAGCUUGAUCAGAAAGUCUGUCUUGCUGUCCAUUCUUUGUGUCUCUUGUCCCUUUCCAUUCCAGGUUCCCAUGGGCUAGACCUUCGUUGUGCUCUGCUGGCUAGGGCAGGAGUGGAUCCAGACUUCAAGAUCAUCCUGGGCUACAUGGAGAAUUCGAAGCCUAGGGUACUUGAAACCCUGUCUCAAAAUAGUAAGAGAAAAUCCAAGUGAUGUUGGCAAUUAGGCUGCAGAUAGCAGAAUUCGGAACAGGAAAAGAAAUGACAAGCUGAAUUUAAUUGAAAUCUAACCAUUUACUUUGUGAAAGACACCACUAAGAAAACAAAAAGGACAAACUUAAGACUAGAAGACAGUGUUUACUUGAUGAAGCACUGGUUCCCAAAAAAAUACAACAAAUACUUGAGAUGAACAGUAAGAAGACAAGAAGUCCGAUUAAAACUUGUCAAGACGUCUAACUGGAUAGCUCAUUAAAGGAAAUAUGCAAA